AGUCAUUGUAGCAAUACAAGGCAGACGGCUCAGUAACGCGUAGUCAAUCUACCCUAUGGACGGGAAUAACCUCGGGAAACUGAGAAUAAUGCCCGAUAGAACAUUAUGCCUGGAAUGGUUUAUGUUUCAAAUGAUUUAUCGCCAUAGGAUGGGACUGCGGCCUAUCAGUUUGUUGGUGAGGUAAUGGCCCACCAAGACUAUUACAGGUACGGGCUCUGAGAGGAGUAGCCCGGAGAUGGGUACUGAGACACGGACCCAGGCCCUAUGGGGCGCAGCAGGCGAGAAAACUUUGCAAUGUGCGAAAGCACGACAAGGUUAAUCCGAGUGGUUUCUGCUAAAGAAACCUUUUGUCAGUCCUAGAAACACUAACGAAUAAGGGGUGGGCAAGUUCUGGUGUCAGCCGCCGCGGUAAAACCAGCACCUCAAGUGGUCAGGAUGAUUAUUGGGCCUAAAGCAUCCGUAGCUCGUUUUGUAAGUUUUCGGUUAAAUCCAUGCGCUUAACGUAUGGGCUGCCGGGAAUACUGCAUAACUAGGAAGUGGGAGAGGUAGACGGUACUCGGGAGGAAGGGGUAAAAUCCUUUGAUCUCUUGAUGACCACCUGUGGCGAAGGCGGUCUACCAGAACACGUUCGACGGUGAGGGAUGAAAGCUGGGGGAGCAAACCGGAUUAGAUACCCGGGUAGUCCCAGCUGUAAACUAUGCAAACUCGGUGAUGCAUUGGCUUAUGGCCAAUGCAGUGCUGCAGGGAAGCCGUUAAGUCUGCCGCCUGGGAAGUACGUACGCAAGUAUGAAACUUAAAGGAAUUGGCGGGGGAGCACCACAAGGGGUGAAGCCUGCGGUUCAAUUGGAGUCAACGCC
rnacentral:rRNA from 1 species